GACGAACGCUGGCGGCGUGCUUAACACAUGCAAGUCGAACGAAGAGCGAUGGAAGCUUGCUUCUAUCAAUCUUAGUGGCGAACGGGUGAGUAACGCGUAAUCAACCUGCCCUUCAGAGGGGGACAACAGUUGGAAACGACUGCUAAUACCGCAUACGAUCUAACCUCGGCAUCGAGGAUGGAUGAAAGGGGGCCUCUAUUUAUAAGCUAUCACCGAAGGAGGGGAUUGCGUCUGAUUAGCUAGCUGGAGGGGUAACGGCCACCCAAAGCGAUGAUGAGUAGCCGGUCUGAGAGGAUGGACAGCCACAAUGGGACUGAGACCCGGCCCCAACUCCCACGGGAGGCAGCAGUAGGGAAUCUUCCGCAAUAGAAGAAAGUCUGGCGGAGAAACGCCGCGUGAGGGGUGACCGCCUUCGGGUUGUAAAGCUCUGUUAAUCGGGACGAAAGGCCUUCUUGCGAAUAGUUAGAAGGAUUGACGGUACCGGAAUAGAAAGCCACGGCUAACUACGUG
rnacentral:rRNA from 1 species